UGAGGAACAUGACCUUCGGCGGGGGAUAGCCGGCCCAACGGCCGGGUAAUACCGCGUACGACCACAUGGGGACAUCCCUGAGUGGUGAAAGCAGCAAUGCGCCGAUGGAGUGCCUCGCGGCCUAUCAGCUAGUUGGCGAGGUAACGGCUCACCAAGGCGACGACGGGUAGCUGGUCUGAGAGGACGAUCAGCCACACUGGGACUGAGACACGGCCCAGACCU
rnacentral:rRNA from 1 species